rnacentral:rRNA from 1 species
GUAAUGCGUGACCAACCUGCCCCAUGCUCCAGAAUAGCUCUUGGAAACGGGUGGUAAUGCUGGAUGCUCCAACUUGACGCAUGUCUUGUUGGGAAAGUGUUUAGUGGCAUGGGAUGGGGUCGCGUCCUAUCAGCUUGUAGGCGGGGUAAUGGCCCACCUAGGCUUCGACGGGUAGCCGGCCUGAGAGGGCGGACGGCCACAUUGGGACUGAGAUACGGCCCAGACUCCUACGGGAGGCAGCAGCG